rnacentral:misc_RNA from 1 species
UUUCCGUAGGUGAACCUGCGGAAGGAUCAUUAUUGUAUAACCGAGGUGCUAGGGCUGGCGCUGACCCGAAAGGUCGUGCACGCCAGAGUGCCCUCACACACAUACAUCUCACCCCUAUGUGCACCACCGCGUGGGUCACCCUUUGGCUUGUUCGGAGGGGGGCUUACGUUUUAACACAAACUUUGUAUGCAGUGUAGAAUGUAUUUUUUGUUUUUGCGAUCACGCAAUCAAUACAACUUUCAACAACGGAUCUCUUGGCUCUC